GCCAGCGUGGAGAAGUGGUUUGAGCAUUGGAUUACGAUUCUGGAGGCCAGGGUUCAAAUCCCAGCUCAGCCA